GAUGAACGCUGGCGGCGUGCCUAAUACAUGCAAGUCGAGCGAACAGACGAGGAGCUUGCUCCUCUGACGUUAGCGGCGGACGGGUGAGUAACACGUGGAUAACCUACCUAUAAGACUGGGAUAACUUCGGGAAACCGGAGCUAAUCCCGGAUAAUAUAUUGAACCGCAUGGUUCAAUAGUGAAAGACGGUUUUGCUGUCACUUAUAGAUGGAUCCGCGCCGCAUUAGCUAGUUGGUAAGGUAACGGCUUACCAAGGCAACGAUGCGUAGCCGACCUGAGAGGCGGAUCGCCCACCCUAGAGCUGAGACGCGGUCCAGACUCCUACGGGAGGCAGCAGUAGGGAAUCUUCCGCAAUGGGCGAAAGCCUGACGGAGCGACGCCGCGUGAGGGAUGAAGGUCCUCGGAUCGUAAAACUCUGUUAUUAGGGAAAAACAAAUGUGUAAGUAACUAUGCACGUCUUGACGGUACCUAAUCAAAAAGCCACGGCUAACUACGUG
rnacentral:rRNA from 1 species